rnacentral:lncRNA from 1 species
CUCGUUUUUAAUUUACCGUGCUGAACUUCCAACACGCUUUUAAGGGCGAGACCGGCGACAGCGCAGCUCCUGAAAAGAAACACGCACGACCGCUUGAAAAACUGCGCCGAGGAGAUAUUCCGCGGAGUUUAAAAAACCCCGAAGAGACCUGCAAGCGCUUGUCGAUACCGCUCCCCCUGGGACUGCUUCGGAGGAGCGGACGGGAGUCGGACAGGAACAGGAUACAGGCAUCGCUGACCCAAGAACCUGGACACGCUGGACCUCUCCCACCCACCCACCCCCCACCGGGCGAGGAGCAGAGCUUUGUCUCGUCCCCCUUGGGGAAAAAAAAACCCAGCGAAAAAGUCGGUCAAGUCUGGUCGCUCCAACCCGAAGAGACGGUCCUCCCUCAGCAUGUCGGCGGAGACGAGCCCCUGGUGAGUCUGGUCGCCUGUCUCUGGUUUUCCUCUCGGGGCCUUGGAAAGCAGGCUUAAUUCCAGAUGUGGUCUAACUAAGGCCCUGCCGGGGUUCAGUAAUCCCCCCCGCCUGCCUCCGAUCGCUCUCUGAAAGCGUGCCAGGGCCCUUUCCGAGCCCGAUUCCUGCAGGUUCGCCGAAGGCCGGCCCGCCCGGGGUCUGGAACUCGUCACACGGUCGAAACGCAACCUGCCAGAGGUUUUACAGGAGCCACCACAGACCAGGGUGGGGUGGGGAUCAAUAGAGAACCGCAGAGGGCAGAGGAGAGGAGGUGGGAGUGCGUCAGAGACCCUGAAAAACGACCGGGAAAACUCUCUAGGAUAUCUUGAACAGAAAAUCCACUGCCGUCUCAAGCAAGACAGGUAAUUAAACACCGAGAGCAGACGCAGAAGAGAGGAGAUCUUUCGAUCAGGCAUGUGGGCACCGAUUCGGGGUCGAAUUCGGGAGAAAACACCCGUGAUCUAAGUAGCUCACGUGCCGGACGUGCGUUAUUCCGGAGGUGAACGGGGCCCGACGGGAGAUCUGCGCGUGUCCCAGCUCUGAAACGCGUGGGCACCGAGGAGCUGCUCGUGACAAGGCCCCUUCUCGAGCUUCAGCUGAUUAAAAUAUCGUUUGCAUAGGAAGAGCCGGCAGGAGAGAAUCUCAAAGCGUUUUAACAAAGACCUGGUUACCGGUCCAGAAACAAGUGAAGGCCCUCGCGCUUCCUUCUGAAGAUCUUGCAAACACCGGACGGUCAUCGAAGAGCACAAUCACCUAAUCUUUACACAAAGAGCGGGGGGUGUCUGGAACAGGCCGCCCAGUUGAUUUUCCUGGAACCCCUUUCACAUAAUAGCUGCACAAGACCCUCGGCUCAAAAGCUACAGGCACCAAGAUGGGUCAGACAGCCUCAACUUGACUGAUGAUGCAUGAAAACUGGGGCUACUAAGUUUUCCUGUUUCAGAUGCCCCUGUAACUCGCCUUCCUCUAAGCUUUGUAAAUGAUCAGUAGGCCCUAAGUCAGGGAAAUUGUUUACUUUAGCCCUCUUUCGGUUUGUUUUUUUUCUGCACAUUUUCUAUAAAUUGUUACAUUUUUCAACGACGCCCUUGCGAAUCUGUCAGCGGUGUCCGCAAAUCAUUUCCAUUCUCGGAAGGGCUGGCAGCAGAAAGGUCAUAUUUGGCUUUGGAAGACUGCUGGAAGGGUGAUGUAAGAGGGACCAGGGCUGGGAGAGGGUGGAUCAGUGUCAUCUGCCUACAGCUGCUCAUGCCUUACAGACUAGGAGAAACAAUCAGGCGUCGGACUUACAAGUUAAAGGGGAAAUUUUUCUAUUUUUAUAUUUCGAGUUUAGAAAGGAUCGGCAGUGAGCAGCGCAUUUCAGACCACCAUAAAAUUAAAAUGCACACAGUGACGUGUUAAACCUCCGAUUCACAUCACAGAAUAGAGGAGAUUUCCAGGUCUGCUCAGCGCCAUGUUUCUGGGAUUCAGAACGAGGCAGCAGGACUUCCGGUGAGGUGGAGCGGCCCUGUGACCCUGUAAACAAGCAGGCUUGUGGAUCCAGCUCUUCUAAUCCAGUAGAAAUACUGCUCUCCUCUCCCAGACGGUUU